AAUUCUCAAUCUCUAUAACUUUGUUGUUAGUAGAUUGGAUGUGGGGGUCUGUGGGUGUUUAAGUACACACCACUCCUCUAAAAUAUAUUAGCUGGAAUGCCUUGGCAAGUCCAACUAUCAGUGUGAUAAAUAUCAGUACUGUAGUUGUUGCAUGAGGGGAUCUGCUUUCUUAAUCGUCGCAAGACAAUAUGAAUCA
rnacentral:misc_RNA from 1 species